UAAGUGCUUCCAUGUUUUAGUUG
rnacentral:miRNA from 6 species